rnacentral:rRNA from 1 species
AGCGAACGCUGGCGGCAUGCUUAACACAUGCAAGUCGCACGGGCAGGGGCAACUCUGUCAGUGGCGGACGGGUGAGUAACGCGUAGGUAUCUAUCCUUGGGUGGGGGACAACCGUGGGAAACUACGGCUAAUACCGCAUGAUGACUGAGGUCCAAAGCCCGCGAGGGUGCCUGGGGAGGAGCCUGCGUACGAUUAGCUUGUUGGUGGGGUAAAGGCUUACCAAGGCAAUGAUCGUUAGCUGGUCUGAGGGAUGAUCAGCCACAUUGGGACUGAGACACGGCCCAAACUCCUACGGGAGGCAGCAGUGGGGAAUAUUGGACAAUGGGCGCAAGCCUGAUCCAGCAAUGCCGCGUGUGUGAAGAAGGUCUUCGGAUUGUAAAGCACUUUC